UACGUAGGGGGGCUAGCGUUGUCCGGAAUCAUUGGGCGUAAAGAGCGUGUAGGCGGUCCGGUAAGUCCGCUGUGAAAGUCGGGGGGCUCAACCCUCGAAUGCCGGUGGAUACUGUCGGGCUAGAGUGCGGAAGAGGCGAGUGGAAUUCCUGGUGUAGCGGUGAAAUGCGCAGAUAUCAGGAGGAACACCUAUUGCGAAGGCAGCUCGCUGGGACGUUACUGACGCUGAGACGCGAAAGCGUGGGGGAGCAAACAGG
rnacentral:rRNA from 1 species